CCUACGGGUGGCAGCAGUGGGGAAUAUUGCACAAUGGGGGAAACCCUGAUGCAGCGACGCCGCGUGAGCGAUGAAGUAUUUCGGUAUGUAAAGCUCUAUCAGCAGGGAAGAAAAUGACGGUACCUGACUAUGAAUCCCCGGAUACCUACGUGCCAGCAGCCGCGGUAAUACGUCGGGGGCCAGCGUUAUCCGGAUUUACUGGGUGUAAAGGGGGCGUAGACGGCGGUGCAAGCCAGAUGUGAAAGCCCGGGGCUCAACCCCGGGACUGCAGUUGAAACUGUGAGGCUGGAGUGUCGGAGAGGCAGGCGGAAUGCGUAGUGUAGCGGUGAAAUGCGUAGAUAUUAGGAGGAACACCAGUGGCGAAGGCAGCUUGCUGGACGAUGACUGACGUUGAGGCUCGAAAGCGUGGGGAGCAAACAGGAUUAGAUACCCGUGUAGUC
rnacentral:rRNA from 1 species